rnacentral:rRNA from 1 species
CCUACGGGAGGCAGCAGUAGGGAAUAUUGCUCAAUGGGGGAAACCCUGAAGCAGCAACGCCGCGUGGAGGAUGAAGGUUUUCGGAUUGUAAACUCCUUUUGUUAGAGAAGAUAAUGACGGUAUCUAAAGAAUAAGCACCGGCUAACUCCGUGCCAGCAGCCGCGGGAAUACGGAGGGUGCAAGCGUUACUCGGAAUCACUGGGCGUAAAGAGCGCGUAGGCGGGAUAGCAAGUCAGAUGUGAAAUCCUAUGGCUCAACCAUAGAACUGCAUUUGAAACUGUUAUUCUAGAGUAUGGGAGAGGUAGGUGGAAUUCUUGGUGUAGGGGUAAAAUCCGUAGAGAUUAAGAGGAAUACUCAUGGCGAAGGCGACCUGCUAGAACAUAACUGACGCUGAUGCGCGAAAGCGUGGGGAGCAAACAGGAUUAGAUACCCCUGUAGUC